rnacentral:lncRNA from 1 species
GUGUUUUUCCAAAGCCUUCCAACAGCAACAUGAAGUUGGCAGCCUUCCUCCUCCUGUGAUCCUCAUCAUCUUCAGCCUAGAGGUACAAGAGCUUCAGGCUGCAGGAGACCGGCUUUUGGGGGCCCCUUUUUACAGAUGAGAAAAGUUCCAGAAAGACCCAGAGACAUAAUCAGGUACCUGCGUCGAGCUCUGCACAGGUGACUGGGACUGCAACCCCGGAGACCACUGUGUCAGCAAUGGGUGUGGCCAUGAGUGUGUUGCAGGAUGAAGAGUUAUCUUAAGGAUCAUCUUUCCCUAAGAUCGUCAUCCCUUCCUGGAGUUCCUAUCUUCCAAGAUGUGACUGUCUGGAGUUCCUUGACUAGGAAGAUGGAUGAAAACAGCAAGCCUGUGGAUGGAGACUACAGGGGAUAUGGGAGGCAGGGAAGAGGGGUUGUUUCUUUUAAUAAAUCAUCAUUGUUAAAAGCACU